rnacentral:rRNA from 1 species
GAGCACGUAGGUGGGUUUUGUCGCGUCGUCUGUGAAAUUCCGGGGCCUAACUCCGGGCGUGCAGGCGAUACGGGCAUAACUUGAGUACUGUAGGGGUAACUGGAAUUCCUGGUGUAGCGGUGAAAUGCGCAGAUAUCAGGAGGAACACCGAUGGCGAAGGCAGGUUACUGGGCAGUUACUGACGCUGAGGAGCGAAAGCAUGGGUAGCGAACAGGAUUAGAUACCCUGGUAGUCCAUGCCGUAAACGGUGGGCACUAAGUAGAGGGG